rnacentral:sRNA from 1 species
AAUAUGGAAGAUACUUUAGGAUGGCAUUUUACUAAAGCCGGAAAUUAUACAGUCAAAUCUGGAUAUCAUACGGCUCGGUUAGAUUUGAACGAGGGUACAACUCUCAUAGGUCCCGAUCUUACAACGUUAAAAGCGUAUAUUUGGAAAGUGCAGUGUCCACCUAAGUUACGCCAUUUUUUAUGGCAAAUAUUAUCGGGUUGUGUACCGGUAUCGGAGAAUUUACGAAAGAGAGGUAUACUUUGUGAUAAGGGUUGUGUUAGUUGUGGUGCUUCAGAGGAAUCAAUUAAUCAUACUCUUUUUCAAUGCCACCCUGCAAGGCAGAUUUGGGCACUAUCACAAAUUCCUACGGCCCCAGGGAUUUUUCCCUCGAAUUCAAUUUUUACGAAUUUGGAUCAUUUGUUUUGGAGAAUUCCUUCAGGCGUCGAUUCGGCUCCUUACCCAUGGAUAAUUUGGUAUAUAUGGAAAGCAAGAAAUGAAAAAGUUUUUGAAAAUGUGGAUAAAGAUCCAAUGGAAAUAUUGCUCUUAGCGGUAAAAGAGGCUCAAUCGUGGCAGGAAGCUCAAGUCGAGCUCCAUAGUGAAAGACAUGGUUCCUUGUCUAUAGAUAGUCGAAUUCGGGUGAGGGAUGUAUCACAAGAUACAACUUUUUCUGGCUUUCGGUGUUUUAUUGAUGGAUCUUGGAAAGCAAGUGACCAGUUCUCAGGAACAGGAUGGUUCUGUCUAUCAUCUCUUGGAGAGUCGCCAACCAUGGGAGCCGCCAACGUUCGUAGAAGUCUAUCUCCUCUACAUACCGAAAUGGAAGCUCUUCUUUGGGCGAUGAAGUGCAUGAUUGGAGCAGAUAACCAGAACGUAGCUUUCUUUACAGACUGUUCAGACUUGGUGAAGAUGGUGUCUUCUCCAACCGAAUGGCCGGCGUUUUCAGUGUAUUUGGAGGAGUUGCAGAGUGAUAGGGAAGAAUUCACAAAUUUCUCUUUAUCUUUAAUUUCUCGUAGUGCAAAUGUAAAAGCGGAUAAGUUGGCACGAAAGAUUCGUACCGUACCGCAUCAUGUCACGUAUGUAAACAAUAUCCCUCGGGAUUGGCUCUUUUGAGUUUUAAUUUAUAUCGGUUGACAAAAAAAAAUUAAAUUAUGUUAAAUAUCGAUUUGAGUUUAGAAAAAAUACUUAAAGUUUAAACUUUGUUACUAAACGAGAUUAUAUAAAGGUUGGUUUUAUGAAAAAAAAAAAGUGGUUAGAAUUUAAAUUUUAGAUUUA